rnacentral:rRNA from 1 species
UUGACCUCAAAUCAGGUAGGAUUACCCGCUGAACUUAAGCAUAUCAAUAAGCGGAGGAAAAGAAACUAACAAGGAUUCCCCUAGUAACUGCGAGUGAAGCGGGAAAAGCUCAAAUUUGAAAUCUGGCAGUUUUUGACUGUCCGAGUUGUAAUCUAGAGAAGUGUUACCUGUGCUGGACCGUGUACAAGUCUUCUGGAAUGGAGCAUCAUAGAGGGUGAGAAUCCCGUCUUUGACACGGACUACCUGUACAUUGUGGUAUGCUCUCAAAGAGUCGAGUUGUUUGGGAAUGCAGCUCAAAAUGGGUGGUAAAUGCCAUCUAAAGCUAAAUAUUGGCGAGAGACCGAUAGCGAACAAGUACCGUGAGGGAAAGAUGAAAAGAACUUUGGAAAGAGAGUUAAACAGUACGUGAAAUUGCUGAAAGGGAAACGCUUGAAGUCAGUCACGUUGGCUAGAAAUCAGUCUUGCUUCUGCUUGGUGUACUUUCUGGUUGACGGGUCAGCAUCAAUUUUGACCACUGGAUAAAGUCUCUGGGAAUGUGGCAUCUUUUUUAGAUGUGUUAAAGCCCAUUGUCGCAUACAGUGGUUGGGAUUGAGGAACUCAGCACGCCCUGCAAGGGGCCAGGUUUUGACCAUGUUCGUGCUUAGGAUGCUGGCAUAAUGGCUUCAAUCGACCCGUC